AGGGACAGAUCCUUAACAGAUGGAGGAGUUUGGAAACUGUCUUGCUGGUAAACAGAUGCUGGUAUUCAGGUGAAAUUCACCACAAUGAAGAGAACAUGCCAAAGGCCCUACACACCAUUAAAGACAUGCUUAAUACAUAGUUCCAGUGGCGAGCUCAUCAGCACAGGUGACCACGCAGUCCCAGAAUUGAAAAAGAGCUCCAGCAUGGACCG